AUCCAACUGACGAGUCCCACAAUAGGACGAAACGCGCGUCCUGGAU
rnacentral:hammerhead_ribozyme from 1 species